AUUGAACGCUGGCGGAAUGCUUUACACAUGCAAGUCGAACGGCAGCACGGGGCAACCUGGUGGCGAGUGGCGAACGGGUGAGUAAUAUAAUCGGAACGUGCCCAAUCGUGGGGGAUAACGUAGCGAAAGUUACGCUAAUACCGCAUACGAUCUACGGAUGAAAGCGGGGGAUCGCAAGACCUCGCGCGAAUGGAGCGGCCGAUAUCAGAUUAGGUAGUUGGUGGGGUAAAGGCUCACCAAGCCAACGAUCUGUAGCUGGUCUGAGAGGACGACCAGCCACACUGGAACUGAGACACGGUCCAGACUCCUACGGGAGGCAGCAGUGGGGAAUUUUGGACAAUGGGCGCAAGCCUGAUCCAGCCAUUCCGCGUGCAGGAUGAAGGCCUUCGGGUUGUAAACUGCUUUUGUACGGAACGAAACGGUCUGCCCUAAUACGGCAGGCUAAUGACGGUACCGUAAGAAUAAGCACCGGCUAACUACGUG
rnacentral:rRNA from 1 species